rnacentral:misc_RNA from 1 species
AACUUUUAGCAACGGAUCACUUGGCUCCGGCAUCGAUGAAGAACGCAGCGAACCGCGAUAGGUAGUGUGAAUUGCAGAAUUUAGUGAAUCAUCGAAUCUUUGAACGCACAUUGCGCCCGGCGGUAAUCCGCCGGGCACGCCCGUCCGAGCGUCGCUCCAGCACCCCUCGGGCACCAGUUGCCCGGUGUUGGGGGCCCGCGCCCAGCCGCGGCCCCCGGAAACCAGAGGCGGCAGCGCCGAGGCGUCCCCUGCGUAGUACAUGCUAGCAGAGGGUCCCCGGCGACGCCAGCCGCGCCGCGGCGCGCUAUACUAAGAAGACCUCGGAUCGGGUGGGGAUACCCGCUGAACUUAAGCAUAUCAAUAGCGGAGGCU